UACGUAGGGUGCAGGCGUUAAUCGGAAUUACUGGGCGUAAAGCGUGCGCAGGCGGUUUCUUAAGUCAGAUGUGAAAGCCCCGGGCUUAACCUGGGAACUGCGUUUGAAACUGGGAGACUUGAGUGUGGCAGAGGGGGGUGGAAUUCCGACGUGUAGCAGUGAAAUGCGUAGAUAUGUGGAGGAACACCGAUGGCGAAGGCAGCCCCCUGGGUUAACACUGACGCUCAUGCACGAAAGCGUGGGGAGCAAACAGG
rnacentral:rRNA from 1 species